AAUUUCUACAAUGGAUGCCUAGACUCUCAUUUCGAAGAAGAACAUAGUGAAACAUGAUAGUCAGUGUGAAUUGCAAAUAUACUUGGAUCACUAGGUUUUUGAACGCGAACCCGUGCUCUUUUUGAGCAUAUGUGAUUGACUGUCAGUACAUUUAAAUC
rnacentral:rRNA from 1 species